rnacentral:rRNA from 1 species
GACUAACGCUGGCGGCGUGCCUAACACAUGCAAGUCGAACGGGGUAGCAAUACCCAGUGGCAGACGGGUGAGUAACGCGUAGAUAAUGUGCCCUCUUGCGGGGGAUACCGUUUCGAAAGGAACGUUAAUACCGCAUAAAGCCGUCGAAGGGCAUCCUUUGACGGGCAAACUGGUUCUAGGGCGAGAGGAGCAAUCUGCGUACUAUCAGCUAGUUGGUGAGGUAAUGGCUCACCAAGGCACGACGGUUAACUGGUCUGAGAGGAUGAUCAGUCACACUGGAACUGAGACACGGUCCAGACUCCUACGGGAGGCAGCAGUGAGGAAUAUUGCGCAAUGGGGGAAACCCUGAACGCAGCGACGCCGCGUGGAGGAUGAAGGCC